ACAGGAGAAGAAUGGGCUGGGUGAGAGGACAAACAGGAGAACAAAAAAGGAAAGAAAAGCAAAGAAAAGCCCUCCCCGGGUCCAGCGGGAUCAGGCCUGGAGGACUGUGGCUCGGCCCCGAGGCCAGAUGCCCAGGAGGAGUGCUGCAUCCACAGGGCGGGAGAGGGACAGGACAGGUGACACCCGGCUGCGGACCCGCCAAGGGGUCCGACGGCCACUGUUGGCUAAGAGCCCUCCAGUGAUCAAGAGGCGGGGGAGGGAAGAGGCUGGAGGCGCAGGCGUCCUGGAGGGGUCCCCAGGACCCGGCGCUGCUCUAAAGGGCCUGUCUCCCUGGCCCAUCCGGGUACCCAGAAUUGGGGUGGUCCUGAGUGGGAUCCGUGUCCCGAAGCAGCCUGCGCGCCCGAGCUGGCGAGCGGGCAGGCGACCUUGGGAGCCGCCGGCCUGCCAGAUGCUCAGCUGUGAUUGCUCUAGUGGACCUCUGUCAUGUCUACUCUCCUCCACAUCUCCUCUUCCCAAACCCCUGACUUUCCUUCAGGCUUUGAAGACACCCCAUUACCACCUUCUAUAAGGAUGAGUCUUCUAGAGGGCCACGCCCUGGUUUUAAAGAUAGAAAGAUUGGAGGCACAUGGGCCCUAAUGACUCUCCUGUGAUUCCACGGCCAGUAAAUGAUAGCACCAGCAUUAGAAGCCACGUCUAUGCCACACUGCCUUUAAUGACAACAUGGACCCAGAUACUCCCCCAAAAGAACCAACGAGAAGGCAAAGAAGUUUUCCAGC
rnacentral:lncRNA from 1 species